GUGAAGAUACAGGCACUGAAAUUUCGUCUAACGAAUUAUCAUCAGGUCAAAAACAAGAGAUUGGUGAUGAUCUUGCUCCUCUUGACCGUCACAUUGCUGGUUAUGACAUCAGAAACCUUGCUUGGUCAGGUGAUAUUCUUAGGAUGAGGAAGGAAUAUACCCCGGAAGGUGAUUCUACGCAAUGGAUGUCGCAGCUUGGCGGUGACGGUGUAGAGGAA